UGGCGAACGGGUGAGUAACACGUGGGUGAUCUGCCCUGCACUCUGGAUAAGCCUGGGAAACUGAGUCUAAUACCGGAUAGGACCAUGCUUUAGUGUGUGUGGUGGAAAGUUUUUUCGGUGUAGGAUGAGCCCGCGGCCUAUCAGCUUGUUGGUGGGGUAAUGGCCUACCAAGGCGGCGACGGGUAGCCGGACUGAGAGGUCGGUCGGCCACAUUGGGACUGAGAUACGGCCCAG
rnacentral:rRNA from 1 species